rnacentral:piRNA from 1 species
UUCCAGCUCAUAGGGAUGCCUGUAUCCUUC